rnacentral:tRNA from 1 species
ACGGAUGUAUCUCAGUUGGUAGAGUCCCCGUCUGAUACGCGGGGUGUCGGUGAGUUCGAAUCUCCCCAUCUGUA